GGCUUCUUCGCUUUUAGAUUUUUAUUUCUGUGGAUCGAAUUCAAGAUAUUUUUUUUAACAAUUUUUAUCUUGACUCGAUAUUCAGUCUCCACCUGAAUUUGAGAGCUUCUGGAUCUCGUCCCUAUAUCCUGGGAUAAUUGCGUGCUACUCAUGGAUGGACAAACAUGGGAACGAGCCAGAUUGCUCGAUCCCAUUUCCGUCAUGUGUUGUGCACCUCUUGACCUGAAACCUACU
rnacentral:lncRNA from 1 species